rnacentral:lncRNA from 1 species
CACGGGAGGAGGUUGGCGUCGUCGGAGUCUCUUGUGCUGCUUGGAGGGUCGAAGCGGCUCCUGGGAGCAGGUGGAGAGAGACAAGGGAGAGAAUAACAAGAACAGAGUUUUCAGGUGGAAAAAAUAGAUUAUGUGGAACUCAAGAAAAUAUUGCACAAAAAGGGUUAUGAAGCUGGCAAUCCUUUAAGGCUGCACAUAUAAAGAAG